GAUGAAGAACGUAGCGAAAUGCGAUACGUAAUGUGAAUUGCAGAAUUCAGUGAAUCAUCGAGUCUUUGAACGCACAUUGCGCCACCUGGUAUUCCGGGGGGCAUGCCUGUCCGAGCGUCAUUGCUGCCCUCAAGCACGGCUUGUGUGUUGGGCCUCCGUCCUCCUCCCGGGGGACGGGCCCGAAAGGCAGCGGCGGCACCGCGUCCGGUCCUCGAGCGUAUGGGGCUUCGUCACCCGCUCUUGUAGGCCCGGCCGGCGCUUGCCGACACAUCAAUCUUUUUUCCAGGUUGACCUCGGAUCAGGUAGGGAUACCCGCUGAACUUAAGCAUAUCAAUAAGCGGAGGA
rnacentral:misc_RNA from 1 species